CUCGUGCCAUUGCUAUGUGGUGCUGGAGAGCUGAUUAGAGGGCUGUCAAGUGCUUUCCACCACCAAAACCCAAGCCUUUGUCAUCAGACGACGCACUUUUCCCAAUUAGUUGCUGGGUUCUCUGCAGCCAGUCCCCAGAUCACAAGUCGGGCCUCCAGAAUGCCAAGAGUCUUUUAAGAAUCAUGCGAUGGGUUUAUUCUGUGCCUGCUACUUUUAGCCCUUCGCAUGUGUUCAGGCCAUCUCCUGAAGUUUUUUCUUUAAGACCGUAGGGACCACAGAUUUUUUUUUCUUAAAGCAAAAGUGCUGGAUAGAGCACCACGGGAGCUCGGGUUUCACAUAACAUCGGGGAAGAUUCACAGGAAAAUCACAGGAGCUGGCAACAGAGGGCUUUUCCUUCUGAAAGGGCUGGCACAGCUCGCCACGCAGACGUUCCAGAGAGCAGCUCCCUCGCUGGUGCCGCUCCAGCUCUGCCGAUGCCAGGGGAAGGAUGCGAAUUUACAGCCGCUGAGGAUCUGCCACCCCCAGGCUCGCUGCUGGUCGGUCCCCUCUGUGUUUUGGGGACCACAGAGAAGCACUAGGUGGUUUGAUACCUUGCAAAAGGCGGGUGCCAGCUAGCAAGCACAGCCAUCAGUCAUCUCCCCGGGGAGCUGCCCUCUGCAUAAUGGGGAGGAGGGAAAGCUGAACCCCUUCCUCCCUGCUCCUCUUCACUGGAGGGGUGGCCGGUGCACAGAGGAAAGCCCCAGGGCUUAUUAUGUUCAGUGCAACUGUCUAAAUAAGGAGGGAAAGAUUUCAGCCUGGAAAACUUGUGCCUUUCCACCGGCUUUUGCAUCCAGACAAGCACAGCUUGUGCCUGCUCUCCUGCGUCAGGCUUUCGGGGCACCCGGAAAAGAAAGCUGGCUUUGGAGACAAAGAUCCCGCCUUGCUUUUAGGAGGGGACCUCGAGAGUCCGGACACAGUAGGUUCUCUAUAUUUUGGGGACAGGAUGGCUGCUGUGCUGCAGAGACUGCCUUCUGUGCCUCCCCUGCUGAAAUAUCACAUCACAGUGCUUCCUGGGGUCAGCCCAACAGCAUCCAUCCAGCCGGCGCACAGAAAGUGCAGCUUUUGGAGAGGGGAAUAUAAUUUUAAAGUUGGCCUGAGAAGCCUCCAUCUAGUUUUCAGGGUUCCAGAAUGUUGUUUUAUUAGGAUUACAGUCUUGUUCUUCUUAGGUUUCAGCAGGCGUUUAUGACUGUUACAACAGGAAUGAAAAGCUGGGGCUGGAAUCGGCAUCGCUUUCUCCUGCCAGGCACAGGGUUCACGGUGGAGGCCAGACAUAUGUCUUUCUCCCACAGAUGCUACUUUUUUUUUUUUUUUUUUUUUUUUUUUCUGGAUGGGGAGGUGAGCUCUAUCCUCUCCCUGGAAGAGGGCUGGCAGCGGCUCUGAGCUGAGAUGUGGGGGUCCGUUGGCUGAAGGUAAUCGCCGUGUUGGUUCUCGUCGUUCCCCUCUGCCCUUUGCCAAGAGGAGAGGCCAGGUCCCAGCAGGUCAAAACUCCUCCUGGAGGGCACCCGAAUCAGAGUGGGGUUCCCUGCUGCUGCAGAGCCCAUGCCUCUACCUCUGAGGGGCACUGGCAGGAAGAAGCAGUUCAGCCUGCCCAAACUGUCCCGCUUGGGGUGAAGAACUCUGCCCUCUUCUUGGGGAAUUCCUGGCUCUGGGCUUGUUGGACCCUCUGCACGGUAAUAAUUAGCAGACAAAUCCUGCUGACUUGGGAAACUCAUCUGAGGGUUUGUUUGUGUGUUUGUUGUUUUUAUGAGAAGGUCCAUAUGCCUUUCAGAUUGUGUUAUUUUCAGAGAGCUGAUGAUCUGAGGAACAGAAUGAAGAGUUGACGUUGUUGGUUGUUUUCUUGGCCUGGUUUAAACAGCAGAUGGAGGUUGGUAGAAGGGCUACAGCUCGUUACUUUAUCCUGGUGGAAUUUGAUGAGUUUUAUUGCGAAGACAAUAGGGCAGAUCACGACAGCACUCAACCCAGGGAGAAAAGAGAAAGCUUUGUACCUGGCGGGCACCGACCGUCCGCCCGCGUGCCCUUCACGUGUUGGAUCCCAUCCAAGAGGUAAUGCGGGAAUUUCUGCGUGUAGUUAAAGUUUAUGAGACUGCCUGCCUAAACGCAUGCAUGUGUGUGAGUGCGUAGCAGAGCGAGGAUCCCUGGCAUGAUACUUAAUCAAAAUCCAGUUUUACCAGUGACAUAAGACAGAUAAAGCACCGAGUACAGACCUCAGGAUCUGCCCCUGCAGCUGAGACGCUGUAUCUGGCAUACGGGGUAACCGCCAAUACACACGGUGUGUGACGUACUCGGAAAUCCUGAAUUUGACCUGGAUUUUCCAAAUCAGAACCUUGUUUUAAAUCUGAAGAUGACAGUGCCUGGUAAUUCAUGUGUUUGCUGAUCUCUGGGGCAGUUCUAGUUCAACGCUGGUUUCUUUCCAGGGCAUGAAAAUCCUAUCUAACGUGCAGUGCCUUUGGAAUCUGAUUGUUACUCCGAGAAGUGUGCUCACUCAAAGUGUUUAAGAAAUGGGCAAUAGAGUUUGAGCCAUAACUUUAUCAGCAGAGCACAGAUACUCAUCUCUAAGUGCUUGCUGGAUCGUGUUCCUUCUUUCAACGCUCUCCUUUCCUGCCGAGUAACCUGUAUCUAGUGCUGUUUUUAUCAGGUUUUUGAGAUUAUUUCUCUUGCCCUAGUGCUGGCUGAGCUGCCUGUAGAUGAGAGCAGGCACCUUAUUUUAUAACUCUGUUCCUAACCUGAUCAGGCUGCAUCUUGAGAUGCCCGGUGCUAUUCCCGGGGUG